AGAGCGGCGGACGGGUGAGUAACGCGUGGGUAACCUGCCCUGUACACACGGAUAACAUACCGAAAGGUAUGCUAAUACGAGAUAAUAUGCUUUUAUCGCAUGGUAGAAGUAUCAAAGCUCCGGCGGUACAGGAUGGACCCGCGUCUGAUUAGCUAGUUGGUAAGGUAACGGCUUACCAAGGCGACGAUCAGUAGCCGACCUGAGAGGGUGAUCGGCCACAUUGGAACUGAGACACGGUCCAAACUCCUACGGGAGGCAGCAGUGGGGAAUAUUGCACAAUGGGCGAAAGCCUGAUGCAGCAACGCCGCGUGAGCGAUGAAGGCCUUCGGGUCGUAAAGCUCUGUCCUCAAGGAAGAUAAUGACGGUACUUGAGGAGGAAGCCCCGGCUAACUACGUGCCAGCAGCCGCGGUAAUACGUAGGGGGCUAGCGUUAUCCGGAAUUACUGGGCGUAAAGGGUGCGUAGGUGGUUUCUUAAGUCAGAGGUGAAAGGCUACGGCUCAACCGUAGUAAGCCUUUGAAACUGGGAAACUUGAGUGCAGGAGAGGAGAGUGGAAUUCCUAGUGUAGCGGUGAAAUGCGUAGAUAUUAGGAGGAACACCAGUUGCGAAGGCGGCUCUCUGGACUGUAACUGACACUGAGGCACGAAA
rnacentral:rRNA from 1 species